UCCGUAGGUGGAUAAUUAAGUCAGGGGUGAAAGUCUGCAGCUCAACUGUAUAAUUGCCUUUGAUACUGGUUAUCUUGAAUUAUUAUGAAGUAGUUAGAAUAUGUAGUGUAGCGGUGAAAUGCAUAGAUAUUACAUAGAAUACCAAUUGCGAAGGCAGAUUACUAAUAAUAUAUUGACACUGAUGGACGAAAGCGUGGGGAGCGAACAGGAUUAGAUACCCUGGUAGUCC
rnacentral:rRNA from 1 species